rnacentral:rRNA from 1 species
CCCCUAGACGUUCUGGGCUGCACGCGCGCUACAAUAAUACGCACAGCGAGUAUCACCGAGCUCGAAAGGGCAAGGUAAACAAUAGAAAAGGUACUGUAAUGGUUAUAGAUCCUUGUAAUUAUUGAUCUUCAACGAGGAAUUCCUAGUAAGUAUGUGUCAUCAUCACGCACUGAUUACGUCCCUGCCCUUUGUACACACCGCCCGUCACUCCUACCGAUUGGGUGAGCCGAUGAAACUCUCGGAUGUAGGCUAUUCAUAGCCCGCAGAAGAGAUUUGAAUCGUAGCGCUUAGAGGAAGGAGAAGUCGUAACA